CAAAAAAUAGUUUAAAUAGAAAAUUUUAAUUUUGGAGAUUAGAGAUGUAAAUAUAUUAUUUUUUUGA
rnacentral:tRNA from 3 species